AUGAAGAGCCUGCAGUGCUUCAAGCAGGGCGGGGAUGGCGCGGGGAGGCGGCUGGAGCGGCGGCUGUCGCUGGGGGACUACAAGAAGGCGGUGUCGUGGUCCAAGUACCUGGUGGCGCCGCCGGGCGCCAAGAUCCGGGGCGGCGGCGAGGAGCUCUGGAGCGCCGACCUCUCCAAGCUCCAGAUCCGGGCUCGCUUCGCCUCCGGCCGCCACAGCCGCGUCUACUCCGGCCGCUACGCCGGCCGCGAGGUCGCCAUCAAGAUGGUCAGCCAGCCCGAGGAGGACGCCGCGCUCGCCGCCGAGCUCGAGCGCCAGUUCGCCUCCGAGGUCGCGCUCCUCCUCCGCCUCCGCCACCACAACAUCCUCUCCUUCGUCGCAGCAUGCAAGAAACCACCAGUAUUCUGUAUCAUCACUGAGUACAUGGCAGGGGGUUCCCUUAGAAAGUAUCUACACCAGCAAGAGCCUCAUUCAGUCCCCAUCGAACUAGUUCUGAAACUAGCUCUAGACAUUGCCCGUGGGAUGAGCUACCUGCACUCACAGGGGAUACUUCAUAGAGACCUGAAGUCCGAAAACGUGCUUCUGGGGGAGGAUAUGUCGGUCAAAGUGGCGGAUUUCGGGAUCUCAUGUCUGGAGUCGCAGUGCGGAAGCGGCAAGGGGUUUACGGGCACCUAUCGGUGGAUGGCUCCUGAAAUGAUCAAGGAGAAAACCCACACUAGAAAAGUCGAUGUGUACAGCUUUGGAAUCGUCUUGUGGGAGAUUUUAACUGCUUUGGUUCCAUUCAGCGAGAUGACACCUGAACAGGCCGCUAUAGCUGUCGCCCUCAAGAAUGCGAGGCCACCGUUGCCUGCUUCGUGCCCUGUGGCCAUGAGUCAUCUGAUAUCUCAGUGCUGGGCGACAAACCCAGAAAGAAGGCCUCAGUUUGACGAUAUUGUCACGGUCCUCGAGGGCUACAAGGAAGCGCUUGACAAUGACCCAUCCUUCUUCCUGUCAUACAUACCGCCUCCGACGCACCACCCGCAUCAGCAUCAGCAGAGCCUACUACGGUGCUUCCCUCGGGUCAAAUCAAUGCGCCGGUCCGCGUCUCUCAAAGCGUGA
rnacentral:rRNA from 1 species